rnacentral:rRNA from 1 species
UUAGCUACGGCGAGUGAAGCGGCAAAAGCUCAAAUUUGAAAUCUGGCACCUUCGGUGUCCGAUUUGUAUUUUGAAGAAGGUAACUUUGGAGUUGGCUCUUGUCUAUGUUCCUUGGAACAGGACGUCACAGAGGGUGACAAUCCCGUGCGAUGACAUGCCCAAUUCUAUGUAAAGUGCUUUCGAAGAGUCGAGUUGUUUGGGAAUGCAGCUCUAAAUGGGUGGUAAAUUCCAUCUAAAGCUAAAUAUUGACAACAGACCGAUAGCGAACAAGUACAGUGAUGGAAAGAUGAAAAGAACUUUGAAAAGAGAGUGAAAAAGUACGUGAAAUUGUUGAAAGGGAAGGGCUUGAGAUCAGACUUGGUAUUUUGCGAUCCUUUCCUUUUUGGUUGGGUUCUCCGCAGCUUACUGGGCCACCAUCCGUUUGGACGGAAAGAUAAUGAUUAAAGAAUGUGCCUCUGCUUCGGUGGAGUGUUAUAGCCUUGGUUGAUGCUGCCUGUCUAGACCGAGGACUGCGUCUUUUGACUAGGAUGUUGGCAUAAUGAUCUUAACCCACC